GACUUAGCUCAGUUGGUUAGAGCAUAGUGCUGAAAAUGCCAAUGUUGUAGGUUCAAUUUCCAUAUGGGAUA